rnacentral:rRNA from 1 species
AUUGAACGCUGGCGGCAUGCCUUACACAUGCAAGUCGAACGGCAGCGCGGGGGCAACCUGGCGGCGAGUGGCGAACGGGUGAGUAACAUAUCGGAACAUACCCUAGAGUGGGGGAUAACGUAGCGAAAGUUACGCUAAUACCGCAUACGCACUAAGGUGGAAAGUGGGGGAUUCGCAAGAACCUCAUGCUCAUGGAGUGGCCGAUAUCUGAUUAGCUAGUUGGUGAGGUAAAGGCUCACCAAGGCGACGAUCAGUAGCUGGUCUGAGAGGACGACCAGCCACACUGGAACUGAGACACGGUCCAGACUCCUACGGGAGGCAGCAGUGGGGAAUUUUGGACAAAUGGGCGAAAGCCUGAUCCAGCAAUGCCGCGUGAGUGAAGAAGGCC